AUCUCCCCAAACCCCCCUCGGGACCCCCAAAAUUCCUUUUGGGACCCCCAAAAUUCCUCUUUGGGACCCCGAAAUGCGCCACAGGCGAAUUCGGCUCGGUGGUGGAGGGGACGCUGCGCCAGGACUCCGGCGUGCUGCGCGUGGCCGUGAAGACGAUGAAACUCGCCGUCUGCUCGCGGGGGGAACUGGAGGAUUUCCUGAGCGAAGCCGUGUGCAUGAAGGAGUUCGACCACCCCAACGUCAUGAAGCUGAUCGGUGAGAAAGCCCCUCAAAAAUGCCCCCGAAUCACCCCAAAAUUACCCCAAAAUCUCCCCAAAAUUAGCCCAAAAAUGCCCCAAAAGUAUCCCAAAAUCACCCAAAGAUACGCCAAAAUCACCCCCCAAAAGUACCCCAAAAUCACUCCCAAAAUACCCAAAACCACCACAAAAAUGCCCCAAGAUCACCCUAAACCCCCCAAAAUCACCCCCAAAUCCACUCUGAAACUUUUCUAAAACUCCUGGGACCCAAAAUCCCAAAAAAUUCCCCCAAAAAUCCCCCAAGAAUCUCCUCAAAUGCAGCUCGACCACCCCAAGGUCAGGAAGCUGAUCAGUGAGAAACCCCAAAAAUUCUCCCAAAUCACCCCAAAAAUCACCAGAAAAAAUCACCCCAAAAUUACCCCAAAAAUGCCCCCAAAUCACCCCCAAAUAUACCCCAGCAUCACCCAAAAAUGCCCCAAAAAUCACCCCAAAAUCUCCCCCAAAUUCCCCAAAUCACCCCAAAUUCCCCAGAUCCUCUCUGGGCCCCCCCAGUUUUGGGGGCUCAGGGGGCUCUGACCCCAAAUUUUGGGGAUCCUGAGCCCAAAUUUUGGGGAUCCGUGUCCCAAUUUUGAGGCAUCCUGAGCCCAAAUUUUGGGGGUCCUGAGCCCAGAUUUUGGGGGGGCUGCACCCCAAUUUUGGGGGAUUCCUACCCCAAUUAUGGGGGUUCUGAGCCCAAAUUUUGGGGGUCUGCACCCCAAUUUGGGGGGAAUC
rnacentral:lncRNA from 1 species